rnacentral:lncRNA from 1 species
UUACAUCUUCCUUUUUACUAUCUCUUUCGAAAAUACGAUCUCCGAGGAUUUUCGGGUGGUAAUUUUGUCGUAACCGUUUUUGACCCCAACAAUAUUGUCACUUUCAAUUUUGAUUAUCUGGCUCUAAAAUUGUGGUGAGUUUUUCUGGCUAGUUUAGUAGAACUUAUUAAUGUUUUUGACAUAUGUAUGUAAUGGUGACUUGUUCAUGUGAUAGAUGUAAACACGUUGAUUGUGCGUAAAAUUUAGUAAAUUAUUUGGUCCACUUAUAUUUUUGGAAUGCCAUUGCAUUAUUUAUGAAAAAGUCAGUUUUGAUUUUUCAAUUUUAUAAAACAAACAGAUUUCUUAAGAACCAUUAUUAGCUUUAUUGUUGGUUUAAUUAAAUUCAACAUAAUGUUUAUGAUGUGAUAAAAACAUGUUUUAACUUUCAUACUACAAUUUUGUGAAUGGCAUGAGAUAACUUUAUAAUCAUUUAAGAUAAAAGAGUUUUAUAGCAUCACAUACCAAACGAAGAGAGAAAGUGUUUUCUUUCAUGUAACAUAGUAAA